AAAUCGUGUCGGUGGAUCAUUCGGUUCA
rnacentral:rRNA from 1 species